rnacentral:rRNA from 1 species
CCGCCGGCGACCGGCGGCACGGGUGAGUAACACGUAUGCAACCUGGCCGUGACAGAUGGAUAACCGGGAGAAAUCCCGCCUAAUACAACAUAAUGCCGGGAGGGGACAUCCCCUGCCGGCCAAAGGGGGCGACCCCGGUCACGGAUGGGCAUGCGGCGCAUUAGGUAGUUGGUGGGGCAACGGCCCACCAAGCCGACGAUGCGUAGGGGUUCUGAGAGGAAGGUCCCCCACAUUGGAACUGAGACACGGUCCAAACUCCUACGGGAGGCAGCAG